rnacentral:rRNA from 1 species
GACGAACGCUGGCGGCGUGCUUAACACAUGCAAGUCGAACGGUAAGGCCCUUCGGGGUACACGAGUGGCGAACGGGUGAGUAACACGUGGGUGAUCUGCCCUGCACUUCGGGAUAAGCCUGGGAAACUGGGUCUAAUACCGGAUAGGACCACUGCCUGCAUGGGUGGUGGUGGAAAGCUUUUGCGGUGUGGGAUGGGCCCGCGGCCUAUCAGCUUGUUGGUGGGGGGAUGGCCUACCAAGGCGACGACGGGUAGCCGGCCUGAGAGGGUGACCGGCCACACGGGGACGGAGAUACUGCGCAGACUCCUACGGGAGGCAGCAGUGGGGAAUAUUGCACAAUGGGCGCAAGCCUGAUGCAGCGACGCCGCGUGAGGGAUGACGGCCUUCGGGUUGUAAACCUCUUUCAGCACCGACGAAGCGCAAGUGACGGUAGGUGCAGAAGAAGGACCGGCCAACUACGUGCCAGCCGCCGCCGUAA